rnacentral:pre_miRNA from 1 species
UUGGUUUAUCCUAAGUCAAAUUUGACAAACUUUGAUCAAGUUUAUAGAAAAAUAUAACAACAACUAUACUACCAAACAUAUGUACUAUCAAAACAUAUUACAUGGUGGAUUCAACGAAACAAAUUUGGUAUUAUAGAUGUUGUUAUAUUUUUCUAUAAAAAUUUGGUCAAAGUUGGAUAAGUUUGACUUAGGACAAACCAAA